rnacentral:lncRNA from 1 species
UUUUUGAUGAACCAAUGGCAUACCUGACUUCAUGUACAUGUGUAUGUUCUGUCCUUGUUAUGCCUGUCAAAUUGUCACAGAAUUAACACACAUUAUGCUUUACUGUUGUCCAUCAGUUUAUCAAAGCAGUCCAAGCACAUCUAGUGAUUUUCUUAAAGUUGGCUUUUGUAAGGACAAAUCCCAUAAAUAUUUCUUCAUAAA